rnacentral:rRNA from 1 species
CAGUAGCCACGGUAAUACAGAGGAUGCAAGCGUUAUCCGGAAUGAUUGGGCGUAAAGGGUGUGCAGACGGCUUAUUAAGUCACUUGUUAAAUUCUUCGGCCUAACUGAAGGUCUGCAAGUGAUACUGAUGAGCUAGAGGGUGGAAGAGAGAAGUGGAAUUCUCGGAGUAGCGGUAAAAUGCGUAGAUCUCGAGAGGAACACCAAUGGCGAAGGCAGCUUCUUGGUCCAUUCCUGACGUUCAUACACGAAAGCGUGGGGAGCAAACAGGAUUAGAUACCCGCGUAGUCCCUGUCUCUUAUAC